AUUACUGAGUUUACGCUCUAUAACCCUUUGUGAACAUACCUAUAACUGUUGCUUCGGCGGGUAGGGUCUCCGUGACCCUCCCGGCCUCCCGCCCCCGGGCGGGUCGGCGCCCGCCGGAGGAUAACCAAACUCUGAUUUAACGACGUUUCUUCUGAGUGGUACAAGCAAAUAAUCAAAACUUUUAACAACGGAUCUCUUGGUUCUGGCAUCGAUGAAGAACGCAGCGAAAUGCGAUAAGUAAUGUGAAUUGCAGAAUUCAGUGAAUCAUCGAAUCUUUGAACGCACAUUGCGCCCGCCAGCAUUCUGGCGGGCAUGCCUGUUCGAGCGUCAUUUCAACCCUCAAGCUCUGCUUGGUGUUGGGGCCCUACAGCUGAUGUAGGCCCUCAAAGGUAGUGGCGGACCCUCCCGGAGCCUCCUUUGCGUAGUAACUUUACGUCUCGCACUGGGAUCCGGAGGGACUCUUGCCGUAAAACCCCCAAUUUUCCAAAGGUUGACCUCGGAUCAGGUAGGAAUACCCGCUGAACUUAAGCAUAUCAAUAAGCGGAGGAAAAGAAACCAACAGGGAUUGCCUCAGUAACGGCGAGUGAAGCGGCAACAGCUCAAAUUUGAAAUCUGGCCCUAGGCCCGAGUUGUAAUUUGCAGAGGAUGCUUUU
rnacentral:rRNA from 1 species